AGGGAUAUAACUCAGUGGUAGAGCACAUGCUUAACAUGCAUGAGGUCCUGGGUUCAAUCCCCAGUACCUCCA
rnacentral:tRNA from 1 species